rnacentral:rRNA from 1 species
CUACGGGUGGCUCCAGUGGGGAAUAUUGGACAAUGGGGGAAACCCUGAUCCAGCAAUGCCGCGUGUGUGAAGAAGGCCUGCGGGUUGUAAAGCACUUUCGGUUGGGAGGACUGCUUCUAGCACUAAUAUUGUUGGAAGUUGACGUUACCUUCAGAAGAAGCACCGGCUAACUCCGUGCCAGCAGCCGCGGUAAUACGGAGGGUGCAAGCGGUAAUCGGAAUUACUGGGCGUAAAGCGCGCGUAGGCGGCUAGAUCAGUCGGGUGUGAAAGCCCCGGGCUUAACCUGGGAACUGCAUCCGAUACUGGCUAGCUUGAGUACAGGAGAGGAGAGUGGAAUUCCACAUGUAGCGGUGAAAUGCGUAGAUAUGUGGAGGAACACCAAUGGCGAAGGCAGCUCUCUGGCCUGAUACUGACGCUGAGGUGCGAAAGCGUGGGGAGCAAACAGGAUUAGAUACCCGUGUAGUC